GCCAUGAUCGUAUAGUGGUUAGUACUCUGCGUUGUGGCCGCAGCAACUCCAGUUUGAAUCCGGGUCACAGCA
rfam:Danio rerio chromosome 4, GRCz11 reference primary assembly.